UGUAAAGAGAGGAAUUUACCCCAUAAAUGGAAUUACAACCCACCGCCUAUUCUCAGCCACCUUUAC
rnacentral:tRNA from 1 species